rnacentral:rRNA from 1 species
UACGGAGGGUGCAAACGUUGCUCGGAAUCAUUGGGCGUAAAGCGCACGUAGGCGGCCCAGCAAGUCGGGUGUGAAAGCCCUCGGCUUAACCGAGGAAGUGCAUUCGAAACUACUGAGCUUGAAUACUGGAGAGGAUCGCGGAAUUCCCGGUGUAGAGGUGAAAUUCGUAGAUAUCGGGAGGAAUACCGGUGGCGAAGGCGGUUCUCUGGGCCUUACCUGACGCUGAGGAGCGAAAGCGUGGGGAGCGAACAGG